rnacentral:rRNA from 1 species
CUUGGUCAUUUAGAGGAAGUAAAAGUCGUAACAAGGUUUCCGUAGGUGAACCUGCGGAAGGAUCAUUAAAAAAAAGAGAAACGUCCCGUUUUUUUCAUAAGAAUGGGUUCUAUUCCCUUAAACCGUGUCUACAUACCUUUGUUGCUUUGGCAGGCCGCCUUCGGGCGUCGGCUCCGGCUGAUAGUGCCUGCCAGAGGACCCAAACUCUAUGUUUAGUGAUGUCUGAGUACUAUAUAAUAUUUAAAACUUUCAACAACGGAUCUCUUGGUUCUGGCAUCGAUGAAGAACGCAGCGAAAUGCGAUAAGUAAUGUGAAUUGCAGAAUUCAGUGAAUCAUCGAAUCUUUGAACGCACAUUGCGCCCCUUGGUAUUCCGAGGGGCAUACCUGUUCGAGCGUCAUUAUAACCACUCAAGCCUGGCUUGGUAUUGGGGUUUUCGCGUAUUCGCGGCCCUUAAAAUCAGUGGCGGUGCCGUCUGGCUCUAAGCGUAGUAAUUUCUCUCGCUAUAGGGUUCCGGUGGUUACUUGCCAAAACCCCCCAUUUUUACGGUUGACCUCGGAUCAGGUAGGGAUACCCGCUGAACUUAAGCAUAUCAAUAAGCGGAGGA